rnacentral:misc_RNA from 1 species
AACCAUAGAAACCUGCGGAGUACCUGCGGAAGGAUCAUUAAAAAGAGUGUGUACCCCUCUGUAAAAUGAGUGGGUUACCUCCCGUCCUUUGUUGACCUCUUAGGAGGUUAUUUUGAACUUUCUGCUUCGGUGGGGUUAAACCUACCGGAACACCCUCAAAUUCUUAUCAUUUAAAAAUUGUUCAGUCUGAUUUUUGUUAAUAAAAACAAAAAACUUUCAGCAAUGGAUCUCAGAUCGGAA